rnacentral:lncRNA from 1 species
CAUUCAGUCAUCAGCGUUCCUUUCUGAGCUUUGGAAUGCUUUUCUAGGAAUCAUCAAGCCUAGGAAGACUGUGCAGACAGUGAAGACCUGUGGCCCCAUGGUCAGAACUCUGGGAGUCCGUGAAAAUCAGCUGAGCCAGGUUCAUGAUUCAUGAUUCAGGACCCGCUCCCUUUGUCAUUCUGCAUGAGGAAAUGCUUCACAAGGCAAGUCUUAGGCAAGCAGCCACCAUCAACAUGGUAAGCAUAUUGAUCAAUUCCCUUUCUGGGAUCUCUUAGAAGAUUUUGUUUUUCAACAAAA